CGGGAAAAGCUCAAAUUUAAAAUCUGGCGGUCUUUGGCCGUCCGAGUUGUAAUUUAGAGAAGUGCUUUCUGUGCCGGACCGUGUACAAGUCUCCUGGAACGGAGCGUCAUAGAGGGUGAGAAUCCCGUCUUUGACACGGACCACCGGUGCUAUGUGAUGCGCUCUCGAA
rnacentral:rRNA from 1 species